AGUGAACGCUGGCGGUAGGCCUAACACAUGCAAGUCGAACGGCAGCACAGUAAGAGCUUGCUCUUACGGGUGGCGAGUGGCGGACGGGUGAGGAAUACAUCGGAAUCUACUUUUUCGUGGGGGAUAACGUAUAGAAACUUACGCUAAUACCGCAUACGACCUACGGGUGAAAGCAGGGGAUCUUCGGACCUUGCGCGAUUGAAUGAGCCGAUGUCGGAUUAGCUAGUUGGCGGGGUAAAGGCCCACCAAGGCGACGAUCCGUAGCUGGUCUGAGAGGAUGAUCAGCCACACUGGAACUGAGACACGGUCCAGACUCCUACGGGAGGCAGCAGUGGGGAAUAUUGGACAAUGGGCGCAAGCCUGAUCCAGCCAUACCGCGUGGGUGAAGAAGGCCUUCGGGUUGUAAAGCCCUUUUGUUGGGAAAGAAAAGCAGCAGGUUAAUACCCCGCUGUUCUGACGGUACCCAAAGAAUAAGCACCGGCUAACUUCGUG
rnacentral:rRNA from 1 species